rnacentral:rRNA from 1 species
GACAGAGGGUGCAAACGUUGUUCGGAAUUACUGGGCGUAAAGCGCGUGUAGGCGGCUCGGAAAGUCGGGUGUGAAAGCCCUGGGCUCAACCUAGGAAGUGCACUCGAAACUUCCGAGCUGGAGUUCUGGAGAGGAAGGCGGAAUUCUCGGUGUAGAGGUGAAAUUCGUAGAUAUCGUCAAGAACACCUAUAGCGAAGGCAGCUUACUAGGCUGUAACUGACGCUGAGGCACGAAAGUGUGGGGAGCAAACAGG